rnacentral:rRNA from 1 species
UACGGGGGGGUAAGCGUUGUUCGGAAUUACUGGGCGUAAAGGGCUCGUAGGCGGCCAACUAAGUCAGACGUGAAAUCCCUCAGCUUAACUGGGGAACUGCGUCUGAUACUGGAUGGCUUGGAUUCGGGAGAGGGAAUGCGGAAUUCCAAGGUGUAGCGGUGAAAUGACGUAGAGUAUCUGGAGGAACACCGGUGGCGAAGGCGGCGUCCUGGACCAACACUGACACUGAGGAGCGAAAGCCAGGGGAGCAAACGGGG